UAUUUCAUGAGAAUGGAAGAAAGCAAAUUUAUGAGCUCAGCUUGAAUUUGGAAAAAUAAAAACUAAUAUAUCUGUUAUAGCUGUUGGAACAUAUUCAGCAAAAAUGUUUCUGUGGUUGACAUACGCUGUUUUGUUGAAGUUGACCUGUGUUACAGUUCAGGGUUUUGCAACUCAGUUAUACAUGUACAAAGGUUGCAGUGAAGUUUUCAUCAGAAAGCUUUCUAAGGGCUUGGAUUGACUCAAGCUUUUCAAAAGAGAAGAGAGAAAAAAUCAUAUUGAAAACCCAGCUGGCUGAACAUGCCAGACUACAGUGUUGUGAGGAAUCAGUGACCACAGAUUCUUGCCAAGCUGCAAACAGUGGGACCUUUCUAUCAUCUCAAACGUAAAGAAAUUGCUGCAGUCCUACCAAAGCAAUCAAAAGGUAUAUACAGAGGAGACAUCUUCUGACUGGUAGUUUCCCACCCCAAGCUGACAAGCUCUGCCGCUGCCCAGUCGUAGCUGGGCCAGUAACGCAGACAGAACAAGCUCCCCUUCUGCAGGGGUCUUCUGGAAGCCCUCCCCCCAGACAAGGAUGUGCAAGCCAGAAAAAAAAAAAUCUCACCUCCAUCCUUGAAAGAUUCCUGACACCGUCCUAGUUGGAAGACACAGACUCAGGCCUCUCCAGUUUUAAGCUUGAAAAGGUCUACAAACCCAUCAGAUCUCUGUAGGGCAGCAAAACAGCCUGCCUCCCCUCAAACAGCCUUGGAAGCCGUCCUGGUCUCUGUGGUUGGCAACUACAGCGCAACAGGAGACAAGGCAACCACAUGCUUGGCCACAGCUGCCAGCAAGUGCUGGAGGAAGCAGUUUUGCAAAAUACUGUCAGGAAGGGAAGCCAUGAGAAGUGCUACUUUACCUUAGCAAAGCAUCCCAAAGGUGACUACCCAGAAACCACGGGUGAGAGCAGCAGGCUUGUGGUAACAGGUUAGGCCAAAGGGGACACGUGGGGCUAGGCAGACACAAACAGACCACUUGUAGUUUAAGGAUCAGACAUUUCUUCUGCGCUUGUGUGACAAACACUGACAGCACAUGGCAGUAAUAGCACAAAUGUCAGUUGAAGGCCUCAUUGCAGUCUAAGUAAUCAGUUUCAUGAGCCAAACAUAUUCUUACAUAAUCCAUUAUUUGAUAAAAAAACCCAAAUGUAAGUUAGAAGGUACAGCUAAUUAGCACAUAUGGAUUUUCUGGAACAGGUUCUGCUAUAUUCUGAAACUAAAAACAAACAAACAAAACAAACCCAAACCAAACUUUUCCUUAUCUGAGCAAGCAGUAGUUUUCAGGGCGUGGGGUGGCGUUUUUUUGGGUGUGAGGUUUACUCCUCUUCCGAUAUCCUGACCUACAGUUUUAAGAAUGCCUAUUCCAAGAAGCACUUCUAUUUAUAGCUCUUCUGGUUCAGAAGCUCCAGCUCUCUGGGUUUAAUGUCUUUAUUACAUAACUCCCACAUCAUCCCUAAGACAGACAGUGGCACAUUUCAGCCCUGUACAGCCAGAAACUAAGGGCAGAGGAGUAGUUUUUCAACAUGUCGAAACCAGGACAGCUGGGAUGGCUCCUGUAAAGUAAAGGACAUGGUGGGUUUGCAGUACCAGAACUAGAAAACUUUUGACCAUUACAAAAAUGAUGACAAAUCAACAGUGGGCUGUUGUGCAGAUCAUAUGUAAGAAAAACACACUUUUGAAACACAGCAAGGUAGUUUCAUGUAGCAUCUAGUAAAGCAUUGACACUAACCCAACCACGUGUCUGAAUGGGCAAAUAAACAAAGGCCUCUGCUUCAACCUUUAGGUUUUGCUAGCAUUCCAGCUCUUAAUUCAUGUAAUAAUCAUUUUUACACAGAAAGCAAGCAGUGAGAAAUACCUUUAUUCCAAAAAUUAAACAUCCAAUUUCAGAACAUGAGAAUCUCAGUUUUAUUUUACAUUGAGGCAAAUAUUUGUUAUUUACCACUUCACUGUAAGUGAAGGUAAUUCACCUUCAUCAUCCCCUGCAGGAUAGUCAUACUAAGAUAUUUCUCUGUCCACCUGUCACUGAAGAGUUUGAGUUACUAGAAUAACUUCACAAGAACAAGUUCAUCUUUUCGUAUUAGCACAUUCUUACCAAAAUACUUGGUCGAUGAAAUAAUUUAAUUUACUUUUAUAUCAAGUAAGGAAUCCAAUCUGAUACACGGCAUUUGAGUAUAGUUAUCUGCCCCA